rnacentral:rRNA from 1 species
AAGCUUACUUCCAUAAUUUUUUAAUACUAUUAUUUACAAUGAACCCUUUAUUUUUACUGAAUAUUUCUAUAAAGUUAUAGAACCUUUUAUGUUGAAACUAGUAACAAGAAGUUAAACUUCUCCUCAAUAUAAGUAUAAGUCGACUAGGAUAAACCAUCGACAAUUAACGCUUAAAUUAAAUGUAUUAACUCCACAAGAAAAACUUACAUUACCCCACGUUAAUCUUACACCAGAACAUUUAAGGAAAGAUUUAAAAAAAAGGAAGGAACUCGGCAAACAUUAACCCCGCCUGUUUACCAAAAACAUCGCCUUCUGAUAUAUUAUAGAAGGUCCAGCCUGCCCAGUGAAUUAAUUUAACGGCCGCGGUAUCCUAACCGUGCGAAGGUAGCGUAAUCACUUGUUCUUUAAAUGAGGGCUAGUAUGAAUGGCACCACGAAGGUUAUACUGUCUCCCUUUUUUGAUCAGUUAAACUAAUCUUCACGUGAAGAAGCGUGAAUAAACAUAUAAGACGAGAAGACCCUAUGGAGCUUAAAAUUACACAACAAUUGUUAAAAAAAUCCUAAAUUUUAUAAAUAAAUUUUUACUAAACACCAUGAUUGCUAAUUUUUGGUUGGGGUGACCGCGGAGUAAAAAUUAACCUCCACAAUGAAAGAAAUUAAUAUUCUAAACUAAGAGCUACAACUCAAAGUAUUAAUAUUUUAACAUUCUUUGAUCCAAUAUUUGAUCAACGAACAAAGUUACCCUAGGGAUAACAGCGCAAUCUACUUUGAGAGCUCCUAUCGACAAGUAGGUUUACGACCUCGAUGUUGGAUCAGGGUAUCCUAGUGGUGCAGCCGCUACUAAUGGUUCGUUUG